rnacentral:rRNA from 1 species
GGGAUAUUGGACAAUGGGGGCAACCCUGAUCCAGCGACGCCGCGUGAGGGAAGAAGGUUUUCGGAUUGUAAACCUCUGUUGACAGGGAAGAAAAUGACAGUACCUGUUCAGAAAGCCACGGCUAACUACGUGCCAGCAGCCGCGGUAAUACGUAGGUGGCAAGCGUUGUCCGGAAUUACUGGGUGUAAAGGGAGCGUAGGCGGGGCGGCAAGUCAGAAGUGAAAAUUAUGGGCUCAACUCAUAACCUGCUUUUGAAACUGUUGCUCUUGAGUGAAGUAGAGGCAAGCGGAAUUCCUAGUGUAGCGGUGAAAUGCGUAGAUAUUAGGAGGAACACCAGUGGCGAAGGCGGCUUGCUGGGCUUUUACUGACGCUGAGGCUCGAAAGCGUGGGGAGCAAACA